rnacentral:lncRNA from 1 species
GGAGACAAGAGGCAGCAGGGUCGCAAUUAAGCGCUUUCUCCCCUCAAGAAGAAUUCUGGUUGGAGAAGACUGGUUGAGAAGCCUCCUCCAUCAUAUGCUAAGCUGUGGUGUGCUUCAAGAUCUGGCAAGUUAAAGCUACUUCAGAACAGUUGCUUCAGAUACUCCCUGUGCUCCAUGAUCAGCAGCAUAGGGCACCGAAUUAACUCAAGGAGAG